GACAGAGGUGCCAAGCGUUAGGCGGAAUCACUGGGCUUAAAGCGUGUGUAGGCGGGCGCCUAAGUACCUUGUGAAAUCCCACGGCUCAACCGUGGAACGGCUGGGUAUACUGGGUGCCUUGGGUCAUCCAGGGGCUGCCGGAACAAAUGGUGGAGCGGUGAAAUGCGUAGAGAUCGGAAAGAACACCAACGGCGAAAGCACUCUGCUGGGCCGACACUGACACUGAGAGACGAAAGCUAGGGGAGCGAAUGGG
rnacentral:rRNA from 1 species